GCUGGGUGUGGUGGCGCCUGCCUGUAAUCCCAGCCAUUUGGGAGGCUGAGGCAGGAGGAUCGCAAGUCCAGGGUCAGCCUCAGCAACUUGGUGAGACCCUGCUA
rnacentral:sRNA from 1 species